GACGAACGCUGGCGGCGUGCUUAACACAUGCAAGUCGAACGGAAAGGCCCUGCUUUUGUGGGGUGCUCGAGUGGCGAAAGGGUGAGUAACACGUGAGUAACCUGCGCUUGACUUUGGGAUAACUUCAGGAAAAUGGGGCUAAUACCGGAUAGGAGCUCCUGCUGCAUGGUGGGGGUUGGAAAGUUUCGGCGGUUGGGGAUGGACUCGCGGCUUAUCAGCUUGUUGGUGGGGUAGUGGCUUACCAAGGCUUUGACGGGUAGCCGGCCUGAGAGGGUGACCGGCCACAUUGGGACUGAGAUACGGCCCAGACUCCUACGGGAGGCAGCAGUGGGGAAUAUUGCACAAUGGGCGGAAGCCUGAUGCAGCAACGCCGCGUGCGGGAUGACGGCCUUCGGGUUGUAAACCGCUUUCGCCUGUGACGAAGCGUGAGUGACGGUAAUGGGUAAAGAAGCACCGGCUAACUACGUG
rnacentral:rRNA from 1 species